GAGUUUGAUCCAUGGCUCAGGAUGAACGCUGACAGAAUGCUUAACACAUGCAAGUCAACUUGAAUUUGGGUUUUUAACUUAGGUUUGGGUGGCGGACGGGUGAGUAACGCGUAAAGAACUUGCCUCACAGUUAGGGACAACAUUUGGAAACGAAUGCUAAUACCUAAUAUUAUGAUAAUAGGGCAUCCUAUAAUUAUGAAAGCUAUAAGCGCUGUGAGAGAGCUUUGCGUCCCAUUAGCUAGUUGGAGAGGUAACGGCUCACCAAGGCGAUGAUGGGUAGCCGGCCUGAGAGGGUGAUCGGCCACAAGGGGACUGAGACACGGCCCUUACUCCUACGGGAGGCAGCAGUGGGGAAUAUUGGACAAUGGACCAAGAGUCUGAUCCAGCAAUUCUGUGUGCACGAUGAAGUUUUUCGGAAUGUAAAGUGCUUUCAGUUGGGAAGAAAGAAAUGACGGUACCAACAGAAGAAGUGACGGCUAAAUACGUGCCAGCAGCCGCGGUAAUACGUAUGUCACGAGCGUUAUCCGGAUUUAUUGGGCGUAAAGCGCGUCUAGGUGGUUAUGUAAGUCUGAUGUGAAAAUGCAGGGCUCAACUCUGUAUUGCGUUGGAAACUGUAUAACUAGAGUACUGGAGAGGUAAGCGGAACUACAAGUGUAGAGGUGAAAUUCGUAGAUAUUUGUAGGAAUGCCGAUGGGGAAGCCAGCUUACUGGACAGAUACUGACGCUGAAGCGCGAAAGCGUGGGUAGCAAACAGGAUUAGAUACCCUGGUAGUCCACGCCGUAAACGAUGAUUACUAGGUGUUGGGGGUCGAACCUCAGCGCCCAAGCAAACGCGAUAAGUAAUCCGCCUGGGGAGUACGUACGCAAGUAUGAAACUCAAAGGAAUUGACGGGGACCCGCACAAGCGGUGGAGCAUGUGGUUUAAUUCGACGCAACGCGAGGAACCUUACCAGCGUUUGACAUCUUAGGAGUGAGAUAGAGAUAUUUCAGUGUCCCUUCGGGGAAACCUAAAGACAGGUGGUGCAUGGCUGUCGUCAGCUCGUGUCGUGAGAUGUUGGGUUAAGUCCCGCAACGAGCGCAACCCCCUUUCGUAUGUUACCAUCAUUAAAGUUGGGGACUCAUGCGAUACUGCCUACGAUGAGUAGGAGGAAGGUGGGGAUGACGUCGAAGUUCGUCGUGCUUCUUUAUACGCUGGGCUACGCGCGUGCUACGAUGGGUGGAAACGGAAGAAG
rnacentral:rRNA from 1 species